UCAGUCAGUCUGUUUCUAAGCGAGUUGAAACCAGGCCAUACGAACUUCAAGCCGUUCUAUCUUAGAUUCACAAUAUGAAGUCUUCUUUAUCCUUAAGUACGCUGCUAUUGGUUUCUUUGUUCGCUAGCUUCUUUAUAAUUAAUGAAUGUGAAGGACUUCUAUCGCUAGGUGGAAAUCCAAGUGGAAGUCUGCCCCGGACACCAACGAAACCUCGACUUGCUAUGAAGAACACUAAACGCUUCAUGAAAUAUUCACAUGGUUCAGAUCUCAAGACAGAAGCAGUUUUGGAAAGUAUCUGCAAGAUAGCUAGUGUGUUAAACUGUGGAGACUAAACUCAAGAAGAAUAGCAUCCACUGACAAACAAAAAUGAUUAGUCACUUACCAUAUGGAAAAGAAUGAAACAGGAUGUUUCACUGAAGAGAAUAAAUUUGUAAUAACCGAACAUUGCAAUUGUAAAAAGUAUCGAGUAAUAAGAAGAUUGUCAAAUACGAAUAAAUAUAUUUUCAUGUCCACAAA